AACGCUGGCGGCGUGCCUAACACAUGCAAGUCAACUUGACUGAAGGAGCAAUCUGACAGUAGAGUGGCGCAAGGGUGCGUAACGCGUAAGUAACUUGCCCCAAGGUAAGGAAUAACGUCGAGAAAUCGGCGCUAAUACCUCAUAAUGCAGCGGAUCCGCAUGGAUAUGUUGUUAAAGGUUUACCGCCUUGGGAUAGGCUUGCGUCUGAUUAGCUAGUUGGUGUGGUAACGGCACACCGAGGCUACGAUCAGUAACUGGUCUGAGAGGAUGAUCAGUCACACUGGAACUGAGACACGGUCCAGACCCCUACGGGAGGCAGCAGUGAGGAAUAUUGGGCAAUGCUCGAAAGAGUGACCCAGCAACGCCGCGUGGAGGAUGAAGGUAUUCUAUAUCGUAAACUCCUGUGAGAGCAGACGAAAGACAGAUUAUUAAUCUGGAUGACUGUAUGCUCAGAGGAAGCCCCGGCUAACUACGUG
rnacentral:rRNA from 1 species